CCACAUUACAUAAAGUGUCUAUACAUGCCUUAAAAUUUCGGAACACUAGUAGUAAAAUACCCCAAAUGUGAAGGAUAGUGUAGAUGAUUGUCUGACUUCGUUCCAAUUUCCGAGUUGUUGGAAGUCACUAUAACCAAGAGAAAAAUAAAAUCGAGUAAGCAUAUAGCUUAGUAAGUAAACACAUGAUAAAUAAGUAAUUACUCCCAUAACUACACCAAAAUAUAAACUUAUUCAUGAAUAACUUUAUUGUUUAGGCAAUUUCCAGCAAGCUGUUUUUCUGCGUCAUAGUCGCUAAUUUAUUUUUAUCUGGAGCUACAAGGCUCCAAAUUGAGUUCUGUAAAUUUUCCCUGAAACUAGACUCAUAUACCAUUUCACCAUAAAAAUUUCAGAAUUUUUAACCCAGCCAAUUAGUACAGUUUAUUCAUUAAACCUUCCCCUGUUUCACUGCCCAACGGUUCUGACCCUUCCUCACUAAAAUUUACUUAACUCUCUGUACAAAAUUUUAAAAAUGGGUUUUCUUAUUUCUAAUAAAAAUAGACUCAAUAAGGAUUCCAGGGAUAUAAAUUUCAUGCCAUAAUUAUUUUUUUACAAUUUUUGGUAAUUUUCCAAAGUUAGAACAGGGGAUCUCGAAAUCAAUCCAGCCCUGUUUUAGUAAAAUUCAGAUAUCUCCAAAAAUACAACUCUUUUGCUUAUUCUAUUUCUUUCAUAUGAAAACAGACACAUCCAGCUUCAAUUUCAUAUAUUAUUCAGCUUCCCAUUCAUUUUCCACCAUUUAUGGUGAUUUUUCAAAGUUACCCAACUGCUGUUGUUCAACACAGUUUAUAAUUAAAUCGUUCCUUUUUCGUUUUUGAUAUUUUCUCCCAUCUCAUACAUGGAUCGAUUUAGUGUCCAACUCAAUAUUUACCCCAUAAAAUUUUCCACCAUAUGGCAAUAUUCACCUUCCACACUUUUUCGUUGAACACUCGGAAUGUUAACCGUUAUUGGUGGAUCUCGCACUUAGCACCACCACUGAAUCGGGGAAUCAUCACUUAGCAACCCCUCGGGGGAAUCAGCACAUAGCAACCCCCUUUUCAUUUCAAAUAUACAAUGGAUAUCGCACUUAGCAACCCCUCGGGGGAAUCAGCACAUAGCAACCCCCUUUCACAUUUCAAAGAUAUGGUGGAUAUCGCACUUAGCACCACCAAUGAACCGGGGAAUCAGCACUUAGCAACCCCUCGGGGGAAUCAGCACAUAGCAACCCCCUUUCACAUUUCAAAGAUAUGGUGGAUCACGCACAUAGCACCACCCAUAAAUCGGGGAAUCAGCACACAGCAACCCCUUUUAUAUACAACAUACUACGGCUUAUUCCGAGUGUUCAACCCAUAACCCAUAUAUUGCAACCCUUUAUCACCUUUCCCAUAACAACAUUUUUAGGAUAUUGCCAAACAUUUAUUUUAAUUCCAAAUAAAUCUCAACAUAUAUCAAAUAAUAUCAAAAUAAUACAUUAAGUCACGUGUUUACUUACCUCGGUGCAAAAUAUCGUAAUUUUGCACUUUACUCCACUAUCUUUUCUUUUCCUCAUUUGAUAUACUCUUCACGUCUUUCUUGAUCUAUAAUAGCAAAUUUAACUCGUUUAAAGUCCACAUUUAUUAAAAUAAUCCACCACCCAACUUUUUGAAAAUUACAAUUUUGCCCCCAAACUUUUGCAUAAUUACACUUUUGUCCCCAAGCUCGGAAAUUAAACUUCAUCACUUAUUCUUAAGUUUUAUAACAUGCUGAACAUUUUUCCCUUCUAUGGAAACAUCAAAUUCCCACUCCAACACAUACUUUUGAAUAUUAAUUAUUUUUACCGAUUAUGUCUAUUUAUCCGUUUUCGCUUAAAAUUGCUUAGCAAAGUUGUUUAACAUAAUCUCUAGCUUCAUAUUCCACCAUAAAACAGCAAAAUAAACACAUUUCACCUAUGGAUAUUUUUCCAAAUAUGAACCCUAACAUGAAUUAAUGGUAGAAUAAGCUAAACCAAGUUACCGGGACUCCAAAAAUACGAAGAACAUUAAAAACGGGGCUUAGAAUCACUUAUUAUGGAGCUUGAAAGCUUAAAAACCCUAAAUAUGGCUUCCCCCUUGCUGAUUUCGUUCACCAUGAAGAAGAUGAGCAUAUUUUGCCAUCUUUUUCCCAUUUAAUUCUAUUUAAUAACCAAAUGACUAAAAUGCCCCCAUUUAAAAAAAAUCUAUUUCACCAUUUCUUAUGUCUAUUUUUGUCCAUCAACUAACUAAUGGUCUAAUUACCACAUAAAGACCUCCAAUUUAAAAUUUCAUAACAAUUAGACACCUCUAAGAUGUAGAACUCAACUUUUGCACUAUUUACAAUUUAGUCCUUUUGACUAAAUUGAGUGCCCAAACGUCGAAAUUUUCGAACGAAAUUUGUAAUGACCCAAAAUUCACGGGCAUCGAAAAAGUAUAAUAUUGGACCUCCGUCUUAGUAAAUUGAGUCCGAAAAUAAUUAUUAGAAAUAUUUACGAGACUAGUUGUGUGUUUAAUUAAGUUUUGGAUAGAUGAAUUUAAUCUAAUUAAGAAUAAUUAGGAAAAAGGAUUAAAUUGAAUAAAGGAAAUAAAGUAAAGUAAGUUAAAAUAAAAGAAUAAAAGAAACAAAAGAAGAAAGAAACAGAAUAGCCAAAGACGAAACAGAGAAGAAACAGGGGAGAAAGAAAGGAAAGAAGAAAGAAAAGGGGAAAUAAGGUUUAUGAAGCUUGGAGUUAAUUGGUAAGCUCAAUCAAGUCCUUUUCUCAUAAUUUUGAUAUUUUAGAAGUCUUAAAACAAGUUUUUGAUGAAAUUAAGUUGUUAGUUUGGAAGUUCUUAGGUUUUUAAACAAAGUUCAUGUUGAAUAAAAUGAUGAAAUAGGGGUUUAAUUGAGUGAAAUUCAAGUUAGAAUAGAUAUAAGGAUUGAAUUGCAAAGUAAGCUAUAAGUUUUUUUUGUUUUAGGGACUAGAUUGAGGAAAAUUCGGAAUUAAGAAAAUAUGUUAAAAAUUUAAUAGUUAAAUUUGAGUUUAAAUGAAAUUUGAAUAGGAAUAAGGUGUGAAUUGGUGUUAUAAAUUUGGUUAUUAACAUUUUUCAUCAAAACAGUUUUGGGAAGUAGCAAUGGUCUGACUUUGAAAAUUCACUAAAAAUUUUAUAAAUUGAACUAGAGGAUGAAAAAAAUAUGGAAUUAAAGCUUAUUGAGUCUAGUUUCUUAUAGUAGAAACAAUGUAAGCAAUUAAUUGAUGAAUCAAGAGAUAUUUUAAAUUUAGUAAUACUGGUUCGGGGUGAUUUCGAGAUGCCCUGUUUUAACUUUGGAAAAUCAUUAAAAAUUGUAAAAAAAUUAUUAUGGAGUGUAGUUUAUAUAUGUGAACUCCUUAAUGAAUCUAGUUUCAAAAUAAAUAAAUAAGAACCUUAUUCGAGUUCUGUACAAUGAGAUAAUUUAGUUUUAGUAGAGAGAGGUCAGAACUGUCAAAUGAAAUAACAGGGGAGUAUUUAACGAAUAAACUGUAUUAAAUGGCUAGACCAAAAAUUCUGGAAAUUUUAUGAUUAGAAGAUAUAUGAGUCUAGUUUUAAUGAAAAUUUACGGAUAUUAAUUUGGAGUUUCGUAGCUCAAGAUAUAAAUAAUUUAGUAACAAUGACUCAAGUAGACAGCUUAAUGGUGAAAUUAUAUAUAUACAUUAAAAAUGGUUAAAUUUGCAUGUUUAGGCUCAUGAAUUAAAUUGAAUCAUGUUGUAUUGAUGAUUAUAAAUUAUUAUUUUCGUAGCCAACAAAGAACCUAAAGCAUCAGCAUCGAAAGGAAAGGAGAAAGUCAUCGAGGAGUAAACUCGAGAAAAUUACGGUUUGUAUUACUAUAAUUCAAGUUAUUUAUUAUUAAAUGCUAAAUUUUAAUUUAUGUGUCUAGUAAAUGAAAUGUGAGGUAAGUAUAAUAUUAGUAUUAAUUUAUUAUUAGUAUUAUUAUUAUUAUGAGUGGGAAUUAAAUUGAAUAGUUUAUAUGAAUUAAUAUUUGAAUUGUUUGUUGAUUGAAAGCGGGAAAUGAAUUUGAAUCGAAUUGUGAAUGGUAUUAAAUUGUAUGGAAAUGUAUUGAGUUGUGAAAAUGUGUGAAUUUGUGAAAUAAUUAUUGAUUGAAGGUGGAAAAAUGAUUGAAUUGAAAGUGUGAGAAAUUGUGAUUGAAUUGAGAAUAUAUGUGAUUUAAAUACCCUAUUAACUAGUCGGGCUGAGUCGGAUAUAGUUGGCAUGCCAUAGGAUUGGAAGAGUUCAGGGAUACUUCGACCUCGAGUCGAUGAGACACUGGGUGUCACUAUAUUUCUUCGGAUAGAUUCGAUGAGGUACUGGGUACCAACUUUCUUCGGCUUUGCCGAUGAGACACUGGGUGUCAACUAUUGCUUCGAACUAUCCGAUGAGGCACUGGGUGCCAUUCUGGUGUGUUUGGUUGGAUCCGUGUAUCCGCCAAAGUCCGAGUUUUGUUAAUAGGGUAAAUGAUGAAAUGAUAAACCGAACGAGUUGGUCAAACGAGCUAUUGAAAUGAUAUGAAAAAGUUGAAUUGUGAAUUGAAAUGUGAAAUGAGAUUGAGAAAUGAACCUAAGGUUCGUGAAUUAUUCAAACUCAAAUUGUGGAUAUACGAUAUUGGUUGAUGAAUUGCUAUUGUUGAAAUAUUUAAUUUAAAUUGUAUAUACGAUUUAUGCUUUACAUGUACAUUAUUGUUAUAAUUUGAAUUAUGGUAAUACCACUGAGUAUGAAUUACUCAGCGUACGGUUGUUUCCGUGCGCAGGUCAAUAGAAGUCAAAGGUCCCGGUUCAACAUCCAGAUUAAUCCCGGCUUCGGCAAAACUUGGUGAUGUAUUUUUCCUUUGGUAAAGGUGGCAUGUACAUAGAUUGUGUAUAAAGGUUAUUAUGUUUUAAUAUAUAAUGGUUAAAAAUGUUAGUAUUAAAAGUUUAUGGAUUUUAAUGAAAGAAGUCUAUCUAUUUUAUCUAAUUAGUACAUUGUUAAAUUUUAAAUUGAUAUUGUGUAGAUUGAGUUUGAUUAGAAGUAUUUAGAAUAGCAAAUGUGAAUGUGAAAUGAAUUGGUUGAAUUGGUGAUAUUUGGGAACUAUAUGGUUUUAAUUUGCAGGGGGUUUUAUGUAAAAAUAAGCAGAAAUGCUGCCGAAAUUUUUAUAAAAAAAAAAUGAAGUCAUUUGGUAAACAAACUAAUAAAUUUUAUGAAUUAUUUUAAUAUAUUGGUUAUUUAUUUAAGAAUUGUUGUAAAUCGUUCGAUACGUCCGGUAAUGCCUCGUAAUUCUGUUCCGGCGACGGUUCGGGGUUAAGGGGUGUUACAAUUGUUGGUAUCGGAGCCAUCAGGUUUAGCCGAUUCUCGGCCUAAAUCGAGCUCGAAAUUGAGUCUAGAUGUACAUGCCACUGUCGAGUUAAACUGAGUCGGGAUUUUUGGAUGCUGACCUAUUUGUUUGUUUUGUUUUAUAGAUUAAAGAUGUCUGAAGAAAGAAUAAAUGAUACUGAUGAAAGAAUGUAUAGUGAAGAUAGACAAUUAGGUGAAACAGAAUCUGUUGCACCGAGUGUGAAUCCGUUAGGCAACCAACCUUCUAAUGUAGAACGAGAAAAUGUCAGAGAUAGAGAUGAAUCCCAAUUACUGAGAAUUAUAGCUGAUGCAUUACAAAGAGUAGUAGGAACUACUCCUGUUACGACUUCAGUACCUACUGUUAGACGGGCUCCGAUAAAGGAACUGAGGAAAUAUGGUGCCACUGAAUUUAUGGGUCUAAAAGGAGUUGAUCCAUCCACAGCUGAAAAUUGGAUGGAGUCGACUAAAAGAAUUUUGCAGCAAUUGGAUUGUACCCCCCGAGAGUGUUUAAUCUGUGCCGUAUCGUUAUUACAAGGGGAGGCUUAUCUAUGGUGGGAAUCAGUGGUUCGACAUUUACCAGAGAGUCAGAUAACGUGGGAUCUAUUUCAGAAGGAGUUUCAAAAGAAAUAUAUCGGAGAGAUGUAUAUUGAAGACAAGAAACAAGAGUUUUUGUUGCUACAACAGGGUGAUAUGUCAGUAAUAGAUUAUGAGAGGGAAUUCUCGAGACUCAGUAGAUAUGCCUCCGAGUUUAUUCCGACAGAAGCCGAUAGUUGUAAAAGAUUUUUACGGGGUUUACGAGACGAGAUCAAAGUGCAGCUAGUAUCUCAUCGGAUCACUGAGUUAGUAGAUUUGAUUGAACGAGCUAAAAUGGUGGAACAAGUUCUGGGCCUCGACAAAAAGACUGAAGUUGUUAGACCAACCGGGAAGCGUACAGGAACUACCAGUUCGAAUCCUCAGCCGAAAAGACCAAAGGAAUUCCAAAGUGGUUGGAGAUCCAGUUUCAGGCCAGACAGAGGUGGUAGAAGUAGGGGAAAACAGACGAUGACAUCUACUGGCAGUGUGAGAGGUCCUUCCCGAGAAAUAGAUAUUCCAGACUGCGAACACUGCGGAAAGAAACACAGAGGGGAAUGUUGGAAAUUAAUUAGAGGCUGUUUUCGAUGUGGUUCUACAGACCAUUUCAUCAGAGACUGUCCGAAAGUUGAUAGUACUGUACCCGUGACAUCACAGAGAUCGGUAUCUACAGCUAGAGGCAGAGGGUUAGGAAGAGGUGGUUCGGUUUCAAGGGGAGGAAGUAUUAGGAGAAGCAAUGAUAUUACUACUCAGCAGUCUGAGGCUAAAGUACCUGCCAGAGCUUAUGUGGUCAGAACACGGGAAGAAGGUGACGCCCACGAUGUAGUAACAGGUAUAUUCUUACUAUAUUCUGAGCCUGUUUAUGCUUUAAUUGAUCCCGGAUCUUCACAUUCUUAUAUAAAUUCAAAAUUAGUUGAAUUGGGAAAAUUUAAUUCUGAAAUAUCUAGAGUGACUGUAGAAGUGUCGAGUCCGUUGGGGCAAACAGUAUUAGUGAAUCAGAUCUGUCCGAGAUGCCCGUUAAUUAUACAAAAUAAAACUUUUCCUAUUGACCUGUUGAUUAUGCCAUUUGGAGAUUUUGAUAUAAUACUGGGGAUGGAUUGGUUGGCUGAGAACGGAGUGGUAUUGGAUUGUUAUAAAAAGAAGUUUAGUAUUCAGACAGAAGACGGGGACAGAAUUGAGGUAAAUGGUAUCCGUACUAAUGGGCCGACACGUAUUAUUUCGGCAAUAAAGGCUAAUAAAUUGCUUCAGCGGGGUUGUACAGCGUAUUUAGCCUAUGUUAUUAAUUCUGAUUUGGUUGGUAGUCAGUGCAGUAAGAUUAGAACCGUAUGUGAGUUUCCAGAUGUAUUUCCUGAAGAGCUACCGGGUUUACCACCUGACAGAGAGGUUGAAUUUGCUAUAGAAGUGUAUCCGGGUACAGCACCAAUCUCUAUACCACCGUAUCGAAUGUCACCCACUGAGUUGAAAGAGUUGAAAGUGCAGUUACAGGACUUGUCAGAUCGUGGAUUUAUUAGACCGAGCAUUUCACCUUGGGGAGCUCCAGUAUUGUUUGUUAAAAAGAAAGAUGGAUCGAUGCGGCUUUGUAUUAAUUACCGGCAGUUAAACAAAGUGACGAUCAAGAACCGGUAUCCGUUACCCCGUAUAGAUGAUUUAUUUGAUCAGCUAAAAGAAGCUUCAGUAUUUUCAAAGAUUGACUUAAGAUCUGGGUAUUAUCAGCUGAAGGUAAAAGAAAGUGAUGUUCCGAAGACUGCAUUUCGUACUCGAUAUGGUCAUUAUGAAUUUUUGGUGAUGCCGUUCGGGUUGACUAAUGCUCCAGCUGCUUUUAUGGAUCUGAUGAAUCGUAUUUUUCAGCCGUAUUUAGAUCAGUUUGUGGUGGUUUUUAUUGAUGACAUCUUGGUUUAUUCGAAGUCAGAGUCAGAGCAUGAUCAGCAUCUCAGAACCGUGCUACAGAUUCUGCGAGAAAAACAGUUGUACGGGAAACUAAGUAAAUGUGAAUUCUGGUUACCAGAGGUAGUAUUCUUGGGACAUGUUGUAUCUGCGGAUGGGAUUAGAGUUGAUCCGAAGAAGAUCGAGGCAAUUGUUCAAUGGAAGGCACCAAAGAAUGUAUCAGAGGUACGCAGUUUUCUUGGUUUGGCUGGGUAUUACAGAAGAUUUGUAAAUGGGUUUUCGAAGAUAGCUUUGCCGAUAACCAAAUUACUACAGAAGAAUGUUCCAUUUAUCUGGGAUGAUCAGUGUCAGAGGAGCUUUGAAACAAUGAAACAAAUGUUGACAGAGGCACCAGUUUUAACUUUACCAGAAUCGGGGAAAGAUUUCAUAGUGUACAGUGAUGCUUCUUUGAAUGGUUUGGGUUGUGUAUUGAUGCAAGAAGGAAAAGUAAUAGCUUAUGCAUCUCGACAGUUGAAGUCACAUGAACGCAACUACCCGACACACGAUUUAGAGUUAGCUGCUGUAAUCUUUGCAUUGAAGAUUUGGAGACAUUACUUGUAUGGUGAGAAAUGUUAUAUUUACACUGAUCAUAAAAGUCUUAAAUAUCUUCUGUCACAAAAGGAGUUGAAUCUGAGACAGAGACGGUGGAUUGAACUUCUGAAAGAUUAUGAUUGUGUUAUAGAUUAUCAUCCAGGGAAGGCAAAUGUGGUAGCAGAUGCAUUGAGUAGAAAAGCAGCGAUUGAAUUACGAGCAAUGUUCGCUCGACUUAGUGUUAAGGAUGAUGGAAGUUUGUUAGCUGAGUUAAGAGUCAAGCCGGUGAUGUUUGAUCAAAUCAGAGCAGCACAGUUAAAAGAUGAAAAGUUGAUGAGGAAAAGAGAAAUGGUACAGUAUGGUGCGGUAGAAAAUUUUAGUAUUGACGAGCAUGAUUGUUUGAGAUUUCGGAAUCGAAUUUGUGUUCCAUCUACUUCUGAGAUUAAAGAAUUGAUUCUCCGAGAAGCACAUGAUAGUAUUUUUGCUUUGCACCCAGGAGGAACGAAGAUGUAUCGUGAUCUACGAGAACUGUAUUGGUGGCCAGGAAUGAAGAAAGAUAUAGUUGAAUAUGUCAGUAAAUGCUUGACUUGUCAGCGGGUAAAAGCAGAACAUCAGGUACCAACAGGCCUGUUACAGCCUAUUACUAUUCCCGAGUGGAAAUGGGAUCGCAUUACCAUGGAUUUUGUUACGGGGUUGCCAUUAUCAGUGAGUAAAAAGAAUGUUAUUUGGGUGAUUGUUGAUCGACUCACAAAAUCAGCUCAUUUUAUAGCAGUUAGAACCGACUGGUCAUUACAGAAGCUUGCCGAGGUUUAUAUUCGAGAAAUUGUUAGAUUACAUGGUAUUCCGGUAUCAAUAAUUUCAGACAGAGAUCCUCGAUUCACUUCGAGAUUUUGGAAGCAGCUGCAUGAAUCAUUGGGUACUCGACUUAGUUUCAGUACAGCUUUUCAUCCUCAAACUGAUGGACAAUCUGAACGAGUAAUUCAGAUAUUAGAAGAUAUGCUUCGAGCUUGUGUCAUUGAUUUUGAAUCAGGUUGGGAACGUUAUUUACCAUUGGCCGAGUUUGUUUAUAAUAAUAGUUUCCAAUCUAGUAUUCAAAUGGCUCCAUAUGAAGCACUUUAUGGUCGAAGGUGUCGAUCACCAAUAUGUUGGACAGAAUUAAGAGAAAGAAAAGUGAUUGGGCCGGAAUUGAUUCAAGAGACAGAAGAAACAGUUAAAAAGAUUAAAGAUAGACUGAAAGCCGCUUUCGACAGACAGAAAUCUUACGCAGACUUGAAACGACGAGACAUUGAAUAUUCCGUUGGUGAUAAGGUAUUCCUCAAAGUAUCGCCGUGGAAGAAAAUUUUGAGAUUUGGUCGGAAGGGAAAAUUAAGUCCGCGCUUUAUUGGGCCGUAUGAGAUAGUGGAAAGAAUUGGGCCUGUUGCUUAUCGAUUAUCCUUACCUCCAGAGUUACAAAAAAUUCAUGAUGUUUUUCAUGUUUCGAUGCUUCGGAGAUAUAGAUCGGAUCCUUCUCAUGUUAUUCCCACUGAAGACAUUGAACUUCGAUCUGAUUUAACUUAUGAAGAAGAACCAGUUCAAAUAUUAGCACGAGAAGUGAAAGAAUUAAGAAAUAAACGGGUUCCUUUAGUAAAAGUUUUAUGGAGAAGCCAUAGUGUGGAAGAAGCAACUUGGGAACCGGAAGAGACAAUGAGAGCACAAUAUCCUCAUCUCUUCUCAGGUAAAUUUCGAGGACGAAAUUUAUUAAGAGGGGGAGAAAUGUAAUGACCCAAAAUUCACGGGCAUCGAAAAAGUAUAAUAUUGGACCUCCGUCUUAGUAAAUUGAGUCCGAAAAUAAUUAUUAGAAAUAUUUACGAGACUAGUUGUGUGUUUAAUUAAGUUUUGGAUAGAUGAAUUUAAUCUAAUUAAGAAUAAUUAGGAAAAAGGAUUAAAUUGAAUAAAGGAAAUAAAGUAAAGUAAGUUAAAAUAAAAGAAUAAAAGAAACAAAAGAAGAAAGAAACAGAAUAGCCAAAGACGAAACAGAGAAGAAACAGGGGAGAAAGAAAGGAAAGAAGAAAGAAAAGGGGAAAUAAGGUUUAUGAAGCUUGGAGUUAAUUGGUAAGCUCAAUCAAGUCCUUUUCUCAUAAUUUUGAUAUUUUAGAAGUCUUAAAACAAGUUUUUGAUGAAAUUAAGUUGUUAGUUUGGAAGUUCUUAGGUUUUUAAACAAAGUUCAUGUUGAAUAAAAUGAUGAAAUAGGGGUUUAAUUGAGUGAAAUUCAAGUUAGAAUAGAUAUAAGGAUUGAAUUGCAAAGUAAGCUAUAAGUUUUUUUUGUUUUAGGGACUAGAUUGAGGAAAAUUCGGAAUUAAGAAAAUAUGUUAAAAAUUUAAUAGUUAAAUUUGAGUUUAAAUGAAAUUUGAAUAGGAAUAAGGUGUGAAUUGGUGUUAUAAAUUUGGUUAUUAACAUUUUUCAUCAAAACAGUUUUGGGAAGUAGCAAUGGUCUGACUUUGAAAAUUCACUAAAAAUUUUAUAAAUUGAACUAGAGGAUGAAAAAAAUAUGGAAUUAAAGCUUAUUGAGUCUAGUUUCUUAUAGUAGAAACAAUGUAAGCAAUUAAUUGAUGAAUCAAGAGAUAUUUGAAAUUUAGUAAUACUGGUUCGGGGUGAUUUCGAGAUGCCCUGUUUUAACUUUGGAAAAUCAUUAAAAAUUGUAAAAAAAUUAUUAUGGAGUGUAGUUUAUAUAUGUGAACUCCUUAAUGAAUCUAGUUUCAAAAUAAAUAAAUAAGAACCUUAUUCGAGUUCUGUACAAUGAGAUAAUUUAGUUUUAGUAGAGAGAGGUCAGAACUGUCAAAUGAAAUAACAGGGGAGUAUUUAACGAAUAAACUGUAUUAAAUGGCUAGACCAAAAAUUCUGGAAAUUUUAUGAUUAGAAGAUAUAUGAGUCUAGUUUUAAUGAAAAUUUACGGAUAUUAAUUUGGAGUUUCGUAGCUCAAGAUAUAAAUAAUUUAGUAACAAUGACUCAAGUAGACAGCUUAAUGGUGAAAUUAUAUAUAUACAUUAAAAAUGGUUAAAUUUGCAUGUUUAGGCUCAUGAAUUAAAUUGAAUCAUGUUGUAUUGAUGAUUAUAAAUUAUUAUUUUCGUAGCCAACAAAGAACCUAAAGCAUCAGCAUCGAAAGGAAAGGAGAAAGUCAUCGAGGAGUAAACUCGAGAAAAUUACGGUUUGUAUUACUAUAAUUCAAGUUAUUUAUUAUUAAAUGCUAAAUUUUAAUUUAUGUGUCUAGUAAAUGAAAUGUGAGGUAAGUAUAAUAUUAGUAUUAAUUUAUUAUUAGUAUUAUUAUUAUUAUGAGUGGGAAUUAAAUUGAAUAGUUUAUAUGAAUUAAUAUUUGAAUUGUUUGUUGAUUGAAAGCGGGAAAUGAAUUUGAAUCGAAUUGUGAAUGGUAUUAAAUUGUAUGGAAAUGUAUUGAGUUGUGAAAAUGUGUGAAUUUGUGAAAUAAUUAUUGAUUGAAGGUGGAAAAAUGAUUGAAUUGAAAGUGUGAGAAAUUGUGAUUGAAUUGAGAAUAUAUGUGAUUUAAAUACCCUAUUAACUAGUCGGGCUGAGUCGGAUAUAGUUGGCAUGCCAUAGGAUUGGAAGAGUUCAGGGAUACUUCGACCUCGAGUCGAUGAGACACUGGGUGUCACUAUAUUUCUUCGGAUAGAUUCGAUGAGGUACUGGGUACCAACUUUCUUCGGCUUUGCCGAUGAGACACUGGGUGUCAACUAUUGCUUCGAACUAUCCGAUGAGGCACUGGGUGCCAUUCUGGUGUGUUUGGUUGGAUCCGUGUAUCCGCCAAAGUCCGAGUUUUGUUAAUAGGGUAAAUGAUGAAAUGAUAAACCGAACGAGUUGGUCAAACGAGCUAUUGAAAUGAUAUGAAAAAGUUGAAUUGUGAAUUGAAAUGUGAAAUGAGAUUGAGAAAUGAACCUAAGGUUCGUGAAUUAUUCAAACUCAAAUUGUGGAUAUACGAUAUUGGUUGAUGAAUUGCUAUUGUUGAAAUAUUUAAUUUAAAUUGUAUAUACGAUUUAUGCUUUACAUGUACAUUAUUGUUAUAAUUUGAAUUAUGGUAAUACCACUGAGUAUGAAUUACUCAGCGUACGGUUGUUUCCGUGCGCAGGUCAAUAGAAGUCAAAGGUCCCGGUUCAACAUCCAGAUUAAUCCCGGCUUCGGCAAAACUUGGUGAUGUAUUUUUCCUUUGGUAAAGGUGGCAUGUACAUAGAUUGUGUAUAAAGGUUAUUAUGUUUUAAUAUAUAAUGGUUAAAAAUGUUAGUAUUAAAAGUUUAUGGAUUUUAAUGAAAGAAGUCUAUCUAUUUUAUCUAAUUAGUACAUUGUUAAAUUUUAAAUUGAUAUUGUGUAGAUUGAGUUUGAUUAGAAGUAUUUAGAAUAGCAAAUGUGAAUGUGAAAUGAAUUGGUUGAAUUGGUGAUAUUUGGGAACUAUAUGGUUUUAAUUUGCAGGGGGUUUUAUGUAAAAAUAAGCAGAAAUGCUGCCGAAAUUUUUAUAAAAAAAAAUGAAGUCAUUUGGUAAACAAACUAAUAAAUUUUAUGAAUUAUUUUAAUAUAUUGGUUAUUUAUUUAAGAAUUGUUGUAAAUCGUUCGAUACGUCCGGUAAUGCCUCGUAAUUCUGUUCCGGCGACGGUUCGGGGUUAAGGGGUGUUACAAAAUUUUUACGAAAAUUUUCCGUGAAAUUGUAGAUCAUAAAAAUAUAAUAAUAACCAUAUUUUCCCUCGUCGGAUUUGUGGUCCCGAAACCACUAUUCCGACUAGGCCCAGAAUCGGGCUGUUACAACUCUCCCCCCCUUAGGGAUUUUCGUCCCCGAAAAUCUUACCGGAAAAGAGGUUUGGGUACUGUUUCCUCAUAAUUUCCUCCGGUUCCCACGUAGCCUCUUCCAUUCCAUGUUUUUGCCACAACACUUUCACUAAGGCUACACUUUUAUUUCUUAACUGUUUGACCUCCCGAGCCAAAAUCUUUAUGGGUUCUUCUUCAUAAGUCAUAUCUGGUCGAACCUCAAUCUCUGUAGGAGAAACUAUAUGUGAAGGAUCCGAACGAUAACGUCGCAACAUCGACACAUGAAAUACAUUAUGUAUCUUUUCCAACUCUGGCGGUAAAGCUAACCGAUAUGCUACAGGGCCAACUCUCUCGGUAACUUCAUAUGGUCCAAUAAAACGUGGACUUAGUUUGCCUUUACGACCAAAUCUCAGAAUCUUCUUCCAUGGGGAUACUUUCAAGAACACUUUAUCACCCACUUGAAACUCAAUUUCUUUUCUCUUUAAAUCCGCAUACGACUUUUGCCGAUCUGAGGCAGCUUUUAGGCAAUCACGGAUUAUUUUCACCUUUUCUUCAGUUUCUUUCACCGUCGACUCCAUGAAUCCGAUUCUCACCGAGUUCAGUCCAAUAUAAAGGGGUUCUACAUUUACGCCCAUAUAAUGCUUCAUACGGUGCCAUUUGUAUACUUGACUGAUAACUAUUAUUAUAAGCAAAUUCAACCAGUGGUAGAUAUUUCUCCCAACUGUCCUUCAUUUCUAAAAUACAACACCGGAGCAUGUCUUCAAGAACUUGAAUCACCCUUUCUGAUUGUCCGUUAGUUUGCGGAUGAAAUGCAGUACUGAAAUUCAAUUUCGUACCCAAAGCUUCCUGUAACUUUAUCCAAAACCUCGAAGUAAAUCUCGGAUCUCUAUCCGAUAUAAUAGAUUUAGGCACCCCAUGUAGUCUCACUAUUUCAGCAACAUAUAAUUCAGCCAACCUGUCAAGUGAAUAAUCAAUGCGUAUCGGAAUAAAAUGGGCUGACUUUGUCAAUCUAUCCACAAUUACCCAAAUAGCAUCUUUCUUCUUUGGAGUUAAAGGCAAUCCUGUCACGAAAUCCAUCGUGAUACUGUCCCACUUCCAUUCUUGAAUCGUUAUCGGUUGAAGUAAACCCGAUGGCACUUGAUGCUCAGCCUUCACUUGUUGACAGAUUAAACAUUUUGUUACAAAUUCCGAGAUAUCCUUUUUCAUGCCCGGCCACCAAUACAACUUCCUCAAAUCAUUGUACAUUUUCACACUACCCGGAUGGACUGAUAAAUCACCACUGUGUGCCUCACCUAAAAUAGUCUGAAUUAGCUCAUCAUUUCUCGGUACACAUAUUCUGUCCCUGAACAUCAGGCAAUCAUCUGAACCAAUUUGAAAAUCUGAGUCAACACCUGCUUCACACUGAGCUCUCUUGGCUUGCAAUUUACUGUCAUUCUUUUGAGAUUCCCGAAUUUGCUGAAGAAAUAACGGUCUAGCUCUCAAUUCAACCAACAUUGAGCCAUCAUCAGAUAAAGUUAACAUCGUACCCAUAGCUCUCAAAGCAAAUAAAGAUUUUCUGCUCAAGGCAUCAGCAACCACAUUAGCUUUCCCGGGGUGAUAAUCAAUCACUAGCUCAUAGUCUUUGAUUAGCUCGAGCCAUCUUCGUUGCCGCAAAUUCAAGUCUUUUUGACUCAUCAAAUAUUUCAAACUCUUAUGAUCAGUGAAGAUUCGGCACUUUUCACCAUACAAAUAAUGACGCCAAAUUUUUAAAGCAAAAACAAUGGCAGCCAAUUCUAAAUCAUGCGUCAGAUAAUUCUUCUCAUGCGGUUUCAACUGUCUCGAAGCAUAAGCUAUUACUUUGCCUUCUUGCAUUAACACACACCCAAGGCCAUUCAACGAUGCAUCACUGUAAAUUACAAACUCCUUCCCGGACUCAGGUUGCACCAACACUGGCGCCUCAGUCAAUAAUGCCUUCAACUUUUCAAAACUCUGUUGACAUUUAUCGGUCCAUUCAAACUUGACAUUCUUCUGCAGUAACUUAGUCAUAGGAGAAGCAAUCAUCGAGAAUCCCUUGACAAACCGUCUGUAAUACCCAGCUAAGCCCAGGAAGCUUCUAACUUCAGUCACAUUCUUUGGUGGCUCCCAAUCAACAAUUGCUGAAAUUUUGCUUGGAUCAACCCGAAUACCUUCACUUGAAACUAUAUGUCCCAAGAAUCCAACCUCACGAAGCCAAAACUCACUUUUGCUGAAUUUAGCAUACAAUUUCUUUUCUCUCAGAAUCUGCAACACAGUUCUCAAAUGUUCUGCAUGUUCCGAUUCAUCCCGAGAAUAGAUUAAAAUAUCAUCUAUGAACACCACCACGAACUUGUCUAAGUACAGCCGAAAAAUUCGGUUCAUCAAGUCCAUAAAAAUAGCUAGAGCAUUAGUCAACCCAAAAGGCAUUACCAGAAAUUCAUAGUGUCCAUACCUCGUUCUGAAGGCAGUUUUCGGCACAUCAGACUCUUUAACUCUCAACUGAUAGUAACCAGACCUCAGAUCGAUCUUGGAGAACACUGUUGCCCCUUUUAAUUGAUCAAACAAAUCAUCAAUUCUCGGCAAAGGAUACUUGUUCUUUAUGGUCACCUUAUUGAGCUGACGAUAGUCAAUACAAAGUCUCAUAGAGCCGUCCUUCUUUUUCACAAAUAACACAGGAGCACCCCAAGGAGAAAAACUCGGUCUCACAAAUCCUUUAUCUGUCAACUCUUGUAACUGAGCUUUUAAUUCCUUCAACUCAGUCGGAGCCAUUCGAUACGGUGCAAUAGAAAUCGGUGCAGUACCAGGUAACAGAUCAAUAGAAAACUCAACUUCUCUAAUCGGAGGUAACCCAGGCAAUUCCUCUGGAAAUACAUCUGGAAAUUCACAGACUACCGGCACUGAUUCAAGCUUCGACCCAGUUAUAUCAGUAUUCAACACAUAAGCAAGAUAAACUUCACAUCCCUUUCUCAAGUAUUUCUGAGCAGACAUGUGCGAAAUCACCAUAGGCAACUUAUUCGGCUCCUCUGUUUCAAUCCGGAGAAUUUCACCAUUUUCACACUUUAAUUCAAGAAUUUUCUGUCUACAAUUCACCUUGGCAUCAUGCAAUAUCAACCAAUCCAUCCCCAAAAUAACAUCGAACUCAUCAAAUGGUAACAACAUCAAAUUAGCCAGGAAACAGUGACCUUGAAUCAUCAGGGGGCAAUUCUUGCAAAUCUUAUCAACUAAGACAUACUUGCCUAAUGGAUUUGAUACUUUAACUACAUAUUCAGUGUUUUCAACAGGCAAUUUCUUACUAGAUACCAAUUUCAUGCAUACAUAUGAAUGAGUAGAGCCGGGAUCAAUCAAAGCAAUAACAUCUAUAUCAUGGAGAGAAAAUGUACCAGUAAUCACAUCGGGAGAUGAGGCAUCCUCUCGAGCACGUAUGGCAUAAGUCCUGGCAGGCGCUCUAAUUUCUGAUCCUCCAGCUGCAUCUUUCAUCACACUUUUACCACUGACUUUGCUUCCCACAUUUCUCGGCGGUCUCCCUCUACUAACAAUAUCACCCGAUCCAGCUCUUGGCAAAUUUUCUUCCUCUCUUCUCUCAGGGCAAUCUCUUACAUAAUGCUCUUGGGAACCACACCUGAAACAAGCUCGUUUAAAUCCCCAACACUCACCAAUAUGUCGCCUGCCACACUGUUGACAUUCAGGCCGGGUGUUUCCUACAUUGCCCACACUUGCUACAGAGGUAGCUCGAGUUGUAGCUCCAGAAUACGACCUCCCUCGGUCUCUGCGUGAAUACCCAACUGAACCAGUUGGUCGUGGAUCCAUCCCUUUAAACUUCUUCGAAUGAGAUUGAAAUGUUCUGCCCAUUGUCCUCUUCCUUACAUCUCGAGAUUCCAUCUCUGCCCUUCUCUUUUCUCUACUCAGUUCUUCAGCUUUACAGGCCCGAUCAACUAACACCACAAAUUCUUUUAACUCUAAAAUCCCAACAUGCAAUCUGAUGUCUUCAUUUAGCCCCUCUUCAAAUCUUUUACACAUAAUAGCCUCCGUAGGCACACAUUCCUGGGCAUAUUUACUAAGCCGAACAAACUCCCGUUCAUAUUCUGCUACGGACAUUCGGCCCUGUUUCAACCCGAGAAACUCUUUGCGUUUUUGAUCAAUAAAUCGUUGGCUUACAUAUUUCUUUCUAAAUUCUUCCUGAAAGAAGUCCCAAGUAACUCUUUCUUUUGGAACCACCGAUAUCAAUGUUUUCCACCAACGAUAUGCCGAAUCCUUCAAUAAAGACACAGCACAUUUCAAACAUUCUUCAGGGGUGCAAGAUAAUUCAUCAAAUACCCGAAUAGUAUUUUCAAGCCAAAACUCGGCUUUUUCCGGAUCAUCAUCAACAUUGGCCCUAAAAUCUUCAGCCCCAUGCUUUCAAAUUCUAUCAACAGGUGGCUUACUUGAUCUCACCAAUUCGGCACUCCGUGGAGCUACGGGGACCGGUUGAGGAAUAGGAAGGGGUGGAGGAGGAGGAACAUUCGGAUUUACACGGACAUAUUUUAUAUACCAAUCACUCAUCAUUCGGAGGAAGGCUUCCCGAGCCUCAUCCUGUCCAUGUGUCUCAUGCUACUCUCUUCCUGUGCGGUCCCUUGCGCGAGAGCCGGCGCGUUACUUUCAACAUCAUCUGCCACACUUCGAUCAGGAUCCAUUUACUAUAUAAAACAAAAUUUUAAAUUGUCAGAAAUCAUCACACUAUCACAAUAAUUUUAUGGCAUGUAUAGACUGACUUCCACACGUAUUUUAUUGGUCCGAGAACCGACUAAACCGUAGCUCUGAUACCACUAAAAUGUAACACCCCUUACCCGUAUUCCUUACCGGAACAGAGUAUGAGGUAUUACUAAAUUUUUAAAAAUUUUCGACAGCAUUCCUACUUAUUUUUGCUUAAACCUCCUGCAAAUUUAGAACACAUUCCAAUAUACCAACCAAUUUCAUUUGUAUAAACACACAUAUAGUUUAACUAUUAAUAAACACUACAUUUAAAAGGGAACCAUAACAUAUAUUUACAUGAUGAUCCCACAUUACAUAAAGUGUCUAUACAUGCCUUAAAAUUUCGGAACACUAGUAGUAAAAUACCCCAAAUGUGAAGGAUAGUGUAGAUGAUUGUCUGACUUCGUUCCAAUUUCCGAGUUGUUGGAAGUCACUAUAACCAAGAGAAAAAUAAAAUCGAGUAAGCAUAUAGCUUAGUAAGUAAACACAUGAUAAAUAAGUAAUUACUCCCAUAACUACACCAAAAUAUAAACUUAUUCAUGAAUAACUUUAUUGUUUAGGCAAUUUCCAGCAAGCUGUUUUUCUGCGUCAUAGUCGCUAAUUUAUUUUUAUCUGGAGCUACAGGGCUCCAAAUUGAGUUACAUAAAUUUUCCCUGAAACUAGACUCAUAUACCAUUUCACCAUAAAAAUUUCAGAAUUUUUAACCCAGCCAAUUAGUACAGUUUAUUCAUUAAACCUUCCCCUGUUUCACUGCCCAACGGUUCUGACCCUUCCUCACUAAAAUUUACUUAACUCUCUGUAAAAAAUUUUAAAAAUGGGUUUUCUUGUUUCUAAUAAAAAUAGACUCAAUAAGGAUUCCAGGGAUAUAAAUUUCAUGCCAUAAUUAUUUUUUUACAAUUUUUGGUAAUUUUACAAAGUUAGAACAGGGGAUCUCGAAAUCAAUCCAGCCCUGUUUUAGUAAAAUUCAGAUAUCUCCAAAAAUACAACUAUUUUGCUUAUUCUAUUUCUUUUAUAUGAAAAAAGACACAUCCAGCUUCAAUUUCAUAUAUUAUUCAGCUUCCCAUUCAUUUUCCACCAUUUAUGGUGAUUUUUCAAAGUUACCCAACUACUGUUGUUCAACACAGUUUAUAAUUAAAUCGUUCCUUUUUCGUUUUUGAUAUUUUCUCCCAUCUCAUACAUGGAUCGAUUUAGUGUCCAACUCAAUAUUUACCCCAUAAAAUUUUCCACCAUAUGGCAAUAUUCACCUUCCACACUUUUUCGUUGAACACUCGGAAUGUUAACCGUUAUUGGUGGAUCUCGCACUUAGCACCACCACUGAAUCGGGGAAUCAUCACUUAGCAACCCCUCGGGGGAAUCAGCACAUAGCAACCCCCUUUUCAUUUCAAAUAUACAAUGGAUAUCGCACUUAGCAACCCCUCGGGGGAAUCAGCACAUAGCAACCCCCUUUCACAUUUCAAAGAUAUGGUGGAUAUCGCACUUAGCACCACCAAUGAACCGGGGAAUCAGCACUUAGCAACCCCUCGGGGGAAUCAGCACAUAGCAACCCCCUUUCACAUUUCAAAGAUAUGGUGGAUCACGCACAUAGCACCACCCAUAAAUCGGGGAAUCAGCACACAGCAACCCCUUUUAUAUACAACAUACUACGGCUUAUUCCGAGUGUUCAACCCAUAACCCAUAUAUUGCAACCCUUUAUCACCUUUCCCGAUUUAACAACAUUUUUAGGAUAUUGCCAAACAUCUAUUUUAAUUCCAAAUAAAUCUCAACAUAUAUCAAAUAAUAUCAAAAUAAUACAUUAAGUCACGUGUUUACUUACCUCGGUGCAAAAUAUCGUAAUUUUGCACUUUACUCCACUAUCUUUUCUUUUCCUCGUUUGAUAUACUCUUCACGUCUUUCUUGAUCUAUAAUAGCAAAUUUAACUCGUUUAAAGUCCACAUUUAUUAAAAUAAUCCACCACCCAACUUUUUGAAAAUUACAAUUUUGCCCCCAAACUUUUGCAUAAUUACACUUUUGUCCCUAAGCUCGGAAAUUAAACUUCAUCACUUAUUCUUAAGUUUUAUAACAUGCUGAACAUUUUUCCCUUCUAUGGAAACAUCAAAUUCCCACUCCAACACAUACUUUUGAAUAUUAAUUAUUUUUACCGAUUAUGUCUAUUUACCCGUUUUCGCUUAAAAUUGCUUAGCAAAAGUUGUUUAACAUAAUCUCUAGCUUCAUAUUCCACCAUAAAACAGCAAAAUAAACACAUUUCACCUAUGGAUAUUUUUCCAAAUAUGAACCCUAACAUGAAUUAAUGGUAGAAUAAGCUAAACCAAGUUACCGGGACUCCAAAAAUACGAAGAACAUUAAAAACGGGGCUUAGAAUCACUUACUAUGGAGCUUGAAAGCUUAAAAACCCUAAAUAUGGCUUCCCCCUUGCUGAUUUCGUUC
rnacentral:lncRNA from 1 species